rnacentral:lncRNA from 1 species
AAUAAUAAUAAUAAUAAUAAUAAUAAUAAUAAUAAUAAUAAUAAUAAUAAUAAUCAUUCCAAGAACUUAAAAAAAAAAAUAGAAAAAUUCAUAAAAUAAGGAACAGGUUGUUUUACCUGUUUCUGAAGACGAAUGAUCUGAAAGUGGAGGGUAACCUCGUUGGAGACUUCAGAGAAGCACGUGACUUGCACACCACAAUCACCUUGAGAACUCAGCUCAUUCAUACUCAGCUGCUUUAUACUUCGAGUUGCAGUUUCAACGCCAUUACUGAAUGCUUCUUUCGAAUCAUUAGGACCCAUAUCAAGAUUUUUCUGUUUCUCGCCAAAACUUACUGAAAAUCGCUUAUUUUUCUUCGGCUUCAAAGAUUUUUGAAUUUUCUUCUCUUUUAUGUCAUUUCACUCUCUGAAAUUUUCUUUCCAGCCCAUAAUUUAGAGUUUCGAGCCCAAAAUAAAUUGACAUAAAUAGCACUAUAUGAGACGUAAAAAGAAUUGCAACACAUAUUUCUGAGAAUUCAAUUGUAGCAGCAUAUUCGAUCUAGUUCGUGCAGAGACGAA